UACGUAGGGGGCAAGCGUUGUCCGGAAUCAUUGGGCGUAAAGAGCGUGUAGGCGGCCCGGUAAGUCCGCCGUGAAAGUCCAGGGCUCAACCCUGGGAUGCCGGUGGAAACUGUCGGGCUCGAGUCCGGAAGAGGCGAGUGGAAUUCCUGGUGUAGCGGUGAAAUGCGCAGAUAUCAGGAGGAACACCAAUGGCGAAGGCAGCUCGCUGGGACGGUACUGACACUGAGACGCGAAAGCGUGGGGAGCAAACAGG
rnacentral:rRNA from 1 species